ensembl:lncRNA novel transcript
AUCCCUCCCAGAGCAGGAAGAGCAGAGGUUCUGGGAAACAACCCCAAGGAGAGAGACAGGGCAUUUAUAAAACAGCAUGUAAGCAUCUCUGCAGUUGCUGUCCCCAGAGCCCACUUCCUGGAUAUUGCCAGCUGCCUGGACCAACCUUUCCGAAAGAUCAGCCAGGUCACAGUGAGGGUCAAAGGUGAGGCAACACCCGGCCUGCUUCAGCUUGCCCCCCGUGGGCUGCACCCACUGUCCAACCAGUCCCAAUGAGAUGAACCAGAACAUUGGCAAGCACGUUGAUAGAGUGCCCACAUUGUACUGAACUCUGAGGGGAAUAGUCUCGUCCCCAUCACUCAGGUGGGGAAACUGAGCAGGAGGCCACUGGAGGCUCCAAGGGCUCUGAAAUGUUGAGAACUUCCCUGCAGGUACCAGCGAAGAGGGCAAGAACACAGCACUACUUCCUUGGAUACUGUUUCCCUCCUCAGAGGGGUUUUCUGAGCUGCCCUGGGUCCUGUGAGGAAGAUCUCCCCUUCCUGUAAAGACACCAGUCCUACUGGAUCAGGGCCCACCCGUGUGACUUCACUUUUACUUGAGUACCUCUCACAGACCCUAACUCCAAAUCAGGUCACUUGCUGAGGUACUGCAUGUGAAGACUUUGACAUUUGAAUUUUGAGGGGGCCACCGUUUAACCUGAACCACCAAGGACAGAGCCAAAGACCCUGGGUGACAGGCCCAGAACAGGACCUGGUGGAGGCUCUUCUUUAGGGGAGAGAGGGAAAUGGGAGCCACCACUGGCAGAGCCUGAAGGCAGGGCAGCCAGAAAGAAGCUGUGGGAGUCCCCACCAUGGAAGACCCUGCCGAGCAUCCUGUGUCUCCUGAAGCAGACCCUGACAUGAGGACUGGGGGCACGUGUUUAUUAAGGGCGAUCCCCGGAAGGAGGAGAUAACCAGAAGUCCUAGCAGAGUAUGCCCACGCUGGUUAGUGCUGCUGCAAAGAUGAGCCGAAGACCAUGAGAGACCUCCAGGUGGUCCUUCUGGGGAGAAGAAAUGGGUUUUGGCCCCAAAUCCUUCUGCUGCAUUUUUCCCCUAUCCCUGGGAAGCCAUGAGACCUCAAACCUGUGUUCCCAAGGAGGCGAGCUGCUGUUCCCAGGUGAUGAUAUGAUGUGCUUGGGGAAAGUAAGUGGCUGCCAGACAUGGCUGAGAGCUGUUGUCACUGCCGUCAAGUGCAUGUCUCCAAGCCAUAUCACACGGCGUCCCUCGAUGUGAGGCCACAUGGCAAGUGGGCCGUGGAUCUCCCUCUGCCCUUUGCAAGCACGUAAGACAGCAGAUUUUGCAGAUACCUUGUGGCGCAGGGGAAUUUCCUUUGGCCAGGUCUGAAGAAAUAAAGCAGCAGGCACCGAGAACAAAGCCAAGGCUUUCAAAAGACAAGGAGCCAAAAAACUUACUCAAAAUAAAAGUAGUUUUAAAAUG